CUGCUAGCAUUUCCUAUUACCCAACCUGUGGUAUUUUGUUAUCGCAGCCCUAAUAGGCUAAGACAUCUGACAACUAAAAUUAUGCAACACAUUUCUAAAUGUCGCUUGAGGGAAGGUGCAGCAUGGCCCCUGAUUGAGAACCGGCGUUAGAGGAAGUGAGGGGGAAAUAUAUGAGGAGGUAAGGAGAGAGUCAGAUGCUCCUAUUUCCAUCAUGGCCUGUGAGAUGCUGUGCUUCAGCUGUUCAUUCCGCCCCAGUCUCCCUCUAGUCUGCGGAGCUCUCUAGGCCUCCACAGCCAUAUUCUUUUGUGACCCCCCACCUCUGACCCACCUGGUGUCGCUCAGGCAGGCGUAGUGAGACAAAGUUGGGACUUUGGACAUCACGCAAGCUGCCCCUUGUGUGGCUGCCUGGCCCAGCCCUGAGCCGGAAUCUGCUGCUGUUAGUACAGGACCCCAAAUCUUCAUAACCUUCAUAACCAAGCCCCCAAAAGGAUCCAUGGAGUCCAGAGGACAAUCCCAGCAAACAUCCCAGGGUGUUUUAGCACCCACUGGGACUUUUGUCCCCACCCUCUCCUAUCUUGGCGAUUUGGGCUGGAACACAUAUGAACUCUUUUUGUUUAAGUUUUAGAGAAACUUCAGAGACCCUUGGCCUAUUUCUCCUAGCAUAGACCCACACCCUUUUUUUUGGCCUCUGACUGAAGCAUAAAAAUAUGAAUUCUUAUAUCUCGGCACUGGAGCAAAGCUACCCUGUUU